UACGUAGGGUGCAAGCGUUGUCCGGAAUUAUUGGGCGUAAAGGGCUCGUAGGCGGUCCAUCGCGUCGGGAGUGAAAAGCUGGGGCUCAACCCCAGUCCUGCUUCCGAUACGGGUGGACUAGAGGUAGGCAGGGGAGAACGGAAUUCCUGGUGUAGCGGUGAAAUGCGCAGAUAUCUGGAGGAACACCGGUGGCGAAGGCGGCAUCCUGGACCGACACUGACGCUGAUGAGCGAAAGCCAGGGGAGCAAACGGG
rnacentral:rRNA from 1 species